GGAAGGUAACUGGCUGGAUGAAGACACCGACUUGAAAUCGGCUGGGCGUAACUGCUUUGGGGGUUCGAGUCCCUCACCUUCCGCCA
rnacentral:tRNA from 1 species